AAGCCAUGCAUGUCUAAGUAUAAACGAUUUAAUCGUGAAACCGCGAAUGGCUCAUUAUAACAGCUAUAAUUUACUUGAUCUUGACACAAUCCUACUUGGAUAACUGUGGUAAUUCUAGAGCUAAUACAUGCAUUAAAGCUCUGACCUCACGGGAAGAGUGCAUUUAUUAGAACAAAACCAAGCGGCUUCGGCUGUUUCUGGUUGACUCAUAGUAACUGAGCUGAUCGCAUGGUCUUGCACCGGCGACGUGUCUUUCAAGUAUCUGCCGUAUCAACUUUCGAUGGUAGUGUAUCUGACUACCAUGGUGAUCACGCGUAACGGAGAAUAAGGGUUCGGCUCCGGAGAGUUCGCCUGAGAAAUCGCGAACACAUCUAAGGAAGGCAGCAGGCGCGAAAAUUACCCACUCUCAGCACGAGGAGGUAGUGACGAAAAAUAACGAGACCGUUCUCUUAUGAGGCCGGUCAUCGGAAUGGGUACAAUUUAAAUCCUUUAACGAGUAUCUAU
rnacentral:rRNA from 1 species